CCGCCAUCAUCAAGCAGCGAGCAGCAGCAGAAGCGUUGAAGGGAGAGGAGGCAUCGGGACAGGCCCCUCUUAGAGAGGAUUUAUAUCUAGUUGGAAAAAAAAAAAAAAAAAAAGAAAAGAAAAAGAAGAAAAAGAAGAAAAAAAUUGUCAAGCCCCCGAACUGAAGGUUACGAGCAGCCCGUCAGCAGCCCACAUGUAACCGAACUGUCGUGUUUCAUGGCUUUUUGCCACUCCAGCUGUCAAUCAAAGCCCGGAAUGUCAAGGUAGUGAAUGAAUGAUGGUUGAUGAUGAUGAAGAGGAGGAAUCUUUCAGACCCGUUUUUUUUCUUCCAGUAAAACUCCGCGAGGGG